ACGUAGGGUGCAGGCGUUAAUCGGAAUUACUGGGCGUAAAGCGUGCGCAGGCGGUUUGUUAAGACAGAUGUGAAAUCCCCGGGCUUAACCUGGGAACUGCGUUUGUAACUGGCAAGCUAGAGUGUGGCAGAGGGGGGUAGAAUUCCAGGUGUAGCAGUGAAAUGCGUAGAUAUCUGGAGGAAUACCGAUGGCGAAGGCAGCCCCCUGGGUUAACACUGACGCUCAUGCACGAAAGCGUGGGGAGCAAACAGGAUUAGAUACCCUGGUAGUCCACGCCCUAAACUAUGUCAACUGGUUGUCGGGGGAGCAAUCCCUUGGUAACGAAGCUAACGCGUGAAGUUGACCGCCUGGGGAGUACGGCCGCAAGGUUA
rnacentral:rRNA from 1 species